GGUUGGUCCGAGUGCAGUGGCUGGACCAGUUACAGAUGGUCUCAACAGUUACAGAUUCCUUUGUUCUUUCUUCAUUCCCACUGCUUCACCAGACCAGCCUUAA
rnacentral:Y_RNA from 1 species